rnacentral:rRNA from 1 species
AUUGAACGCUGGCGGCAGGCCUAACACAUGCAAGUCGAACGGUAACAGAAAGCAGCUUGCUGCUUUGCUGACGAGUGGCGGACGGGUGAGUCAUGUCUGGGAAACUGCCUGAUGGAGGGGGAUAACUACUGGAAACGGUAGCUAAUACCGCAUAACGUCGCAAGACCAAAGAGGGGGACCUUCGGGCCUCUUGCCAUCGGAUGUGCCCAGAUGGGAUUAGCUAGUAGGUGGGGUAACGGCUCACCUAGGCGACGAUCCCUAGCUGGUCUGAGAGGAUGACCAGCCACACUGGAACUGAGACACGGUCCAGACUCCUACGGGAGGCAGCAGUGGGGAAUAUUGCACAAUGGGCGCAAGCCUGAUGCAGCCAUGCCGCGUGUAUGAAGAAGGCCUUCGGGUUGUAAAGUACUUUCAGCGGGGAGGAAGGGAGUAAAGUUAAUACCUUUGCUCAUUGACGUUACCCGCAGAAGAAGCACCGGCUAACUCCGUG